CAGAGCCGCUAAGGAAGAUGAAAGAAAAAUAAUCCUCUGAAAACCAAAUUAGAUUGUGCAAUUGCUCCAUCAUUUUUUAUGAAGAUGGUAAAGUGACAAAGCAUAAUAAUAUGUUCCUGUGCUGUUGGAAAGAAAACAUUUCUGUGUAUAAUAAAGUGUCAAGAAAGA